GUUUUAUACAUUUAUUAAUCCUGCUACAAUUCCAUUAAUCAAAAAGCAUAAGGAAAACGCAAAUACUGACUUAGGCAAUACUAUAUGCUACUCAAAUAAGCAUUCAAGAGUUAACCAAGUGUUAGGUAAAGCAUGCUAGAAAACUGAACAAAUAACACGACAACUCAUUCCAAGAAUGAACCAUGUUGGGGAGGGAGGGCAGGUUGGAAUCAAUGGUAGGGGAAAUUAUCCUAUAUCACAGUAUUCUAACUUGCUAUCAUUGUUAUAUCUUGAUACUAUAACAGCAUUGAGGGCCACAAUCAAUUUCAUUUGUAAUGUCCCUAUCCAAGAAUAUGAACACGUAGCAAGCAAUCAAAUAUUUAUUUAUGGUCAGUAAAACCUUAAACCUGGAGUCCCUUAAAAAAUGAAAAUAAAAACAUUCAAUGAAGCUUUCAACAUUCCAUCUAUAUUGAAUGAAAAAGUUAAAUAUUUCUUCAGAAAUGUCUUGAAUUUCUAGUUCUCAACCUGAACAGAGUUUUUCCAACUUUAAUAGAUUCAUAAUUAACACUAAAAUUUUCUAAUCAAUUAUGAGUUACAAUUAGAGAAGUUGUCUUGCUUUGAUUUGUGUCCUAACACACAAAAGGGAAAAAAUGUGAUAAAGGGUGCUGAUGUUCUCAUAUACAAAAUGCUAACAUUUUAAAGGGAGUGUUAAUUUAUAAAUAAUGUGAAAUACUGCUCUACUAGCCUGCUUUUUCUUUAAAGCUCAGUUAGAUAUGUAAACAUCCUCUUUUUC
rnacentral:lncRNA from 1 species